rnacentral:rRNA from 1 species
GACGUAGGGUGCGAGCGUUGUCCGGAUUUAUUGGGCGUAAAGAGCUCGUAGGCGGCUCGUCGCGUCGACCGUGAAAACCCGCAGCUUAACUGUGGGCUUGCGGUUGAUACGGGCGGGCUAGAGUUCGGUAGGGGAGACUGGAAUUCCUGGUGUAGCGGUGAAAUGCGCAGAUAUCAGGAAGAACACCCGUGGCGAAGGCGGCUCUCUGGGACGGUACUGACGCUGAGACGCGAAAGCGUGGGGAGCGAACAGG